GUGUCUGUAGCUCAGUGGAUAGAGCGUUUGCUUCCUACGCAGAAGGUCGUAGGUUCGACCCACACCUCACGCG
rnacentral:tRNA from 1 species